rnacentral:tRNA from 1 species
UUUUUAGGGAGACCAACUGAUUGAUGAAGAGAAUAAAUAGUUAAAGCUUCAUCAAUUCGGACACCCUAGGUCGGUCAAGGAAAAAGUUGAUUGGCUUUCAAACUGGUUUCGGUUCGGAAAAUGGGCUAUUAGCUCAGGUGGUUAGAGCGCACCCCUGAUAAGGGUGAGGUCCCUGGUUCGAGUCCAGGAUGGCCCACCUGUUCCAGGAAGAGGGGGUAUAGCUCAGCUGGUAGAGCGCUGCCUUUGCAAGGCAGAUGUCAGCGGUUCGAGUCCGCUUACCUCCAUACUUCCCCAAGAAGGCAGCAGGUUAAGCCAAACACCCGCAAACAGGAACCGGAAAAAACAGAGCGUUCAGCACCUGUAGAAGUCAAAAAAACUUGCUCAGACUGCUGGACGUAAACGUUCAGUCAGAACCUUGAAAACUGCAUAGCGAGAGAAAAAGUCAAAGUCAGAUAGUAAUGCACAAUGCCAAAAAAGGCGUUUGUGUCUUACACAGACAAAAACCAAAAAUAGAU